rnacentral:rRNA from 1 species
AGCAGUGGGGAUAUUGCACAAUGGGGGAAACCCUGAUGCAGCCAUGCCGCGUGUAUGAAGAAGGCCUUCGGGUUGUAAAGUACUUUCAGUUGUGAGGAAGGCGUUGAAGUUAAUAGCUUCAGCGUUUGACGUUAGCAACAGAAGAAGCACCGGCUAACUCCGUGCCAGCAGCCGCGGUAAUACGGAGGGUGCGAGCGUUAAUCGGAAUUACUGGGCGUAAAGCGCAUGCAGGCGGUCUGUUAAGCAAGAUGUGAAAGCCCGGGGCUCAACCUCGGAACAGCAUUUUGAACUGGCAGACUAGAGUCUUGUAGAGGGGGGUAGAAUUUCAGGUGUAGCGGUGAAAUGCGUAGAGAUCUGAAGGAAUACCGGUGGCGAAGGCGGCCCCCUGGACAAAGACUGACGCUCAGAUGCGAAAGCGUGGGGAGCAAACAGGAUUAGAUACCCUGGUAGUCCACGCCGUAAACGAUGUCUACUUGAAGGUUGUGGCCUUGAGCCGUGGCUUUCGGAGCUAACGCGUUAAGUAGACCGCCUGGGGAGUACGGUCGCAAGAUUAAAACUCAAAUGAAUUGACGGGGCCGGCC